UACGUAGGUAGCAAGCGUUGUCCGGAUUUACUGGGUGUAAAGGGCGUGUAGGCGGAGAUGCAAGUCAGAAGUGAAAUCCAUGGGCUCAACCCAUGAACUGCUUUUGAAACUGCGUCCCUUGAGUAUCGGAGAGGCAGGCGGAAUUCCUAGUGUAGCGGUGAAAUGCGUAGAUAUUAGGAGGAACACCAGUGGCGAAGGCGGCCUGCUGGACGACAACUGACGCUGAGGCGCGAAAGCGUGGGGAGCAAAC
rnacentral:rRNA from 1 species